rnacentral:rRNA from 1 species
GAUGAACGCUGGCGGCGUGCCUAAUACAUGCAAGUCGAGCGAAUGGAUUGAGAGCUUGCUCUUAUGAAGUUAGCGGCGGACGGGUGAGUAACACGUGGGUAACCUGCCCAUAAGACUGGGAUAACUCCGGGAAACCGGGGCUAAUACCGGAUAACAUUUUGAACCGCAUGGUUCGAAAUUGAAAGGCGGCUUCGGCUGUCACUUAUGGAUGGACCCGCGUCGCAUUAGCUAGUUGGUGAGGUAACGGCUCACCAAGGCAACGAUGCGUAGCCGACCUGAGAGGGUGAUCGGCCACACUGGGACUGAAACACGGCCCAGACUCCUACGGGAGGCAGCAGUAGGGAAUCUUCCGCAAUGGACGAAAGUCUGACGGAGCAACGCCGCGUGAGUGAUGAAGGCUUUCGGGUCGUAAAACUCUGUUGUUAGGGAAGAACAAGUGCUAGUUGAAUAAGCUGGCACCUUGACGGUACCUAACCAGAAAGCUACGGCUAACUACGUGCCAGCCGCCGCAGUAA